rfam:Listeriaceae bacterium FSL A5-0209 contig000011, whole genome shotgun sequence.
UUGGCUGUAUCUUCGAGUAAGAACGGCACAUGUUUUCUUUGUUUAAAAAUAUUUUGCUUUGAUCCAAUUAGGACAGAGACAAAAGG